CCUACGGGUGGCAGCAGUGGGGGAUAUUGCACAAUGGGGGGAACCCUGAUGCAGCGACGCCGCGUGAGCGAUGGAGUACUUCGGUAUGUAAAGCUCUGUUAGCAGGGAAGAAAAUGACGGUACCUGACCAAGAAGCCCCGGCCAAAUACGUGCCAGCAGCCGCGGUAAUACGUAGGGGGCGAGCGUUAUCCGGAUUUACCGGGUGUAAAGGGAGCGUAGGCGGGAGGGCAAGCCUGAUGUGAAAGCCCGGGGCGCAACCCCGGGACUGCAUUGGAAACUGGCCUGCUGGAGUGCCGGAGGGGCAGGCGGAAUUCCUGGUGUAGCGGUGAAAUGCGUAGAUAUUAGGAAGAACACCGGUGGCGAAGGCAGCCUGCUAGACGGUGACUGACACUGAGGCUCGAAAGCGUGGGGAGCAAACAGGAUUAGAUACCCGGGUAGUC
rnacentral:rRNA from 1 species